ensembl:Mt_tRNA AY172581.18
UAGAUUGAAGCCAGUAAGUAGGGUAUUUAGCUGUUAACUAAAUUUUCGUAGGUUUGAAUCCUUCCAAUCUAG